rnacentral:rRNA from 1 species
UUAAGCAUAAAGUUUGUAAAAGCAUAGCGAAAGCAAGUUAGAAAAUAGCGAUAGCUUAAGAAUCUAAACGCGAACGAAAGUGAUCUAAUAAUGAUCAGGUUGAAAUGUUAUUUACAUAACACGAAGGACCGAACCAGUCAAUGUUGCAAUAUUGUUGGAUGAAUUGUUAUUAGCGAUGAAAUGUUAAACGAACUUUCCACUAGCUCGUUCUUUUCGAAAUCUAUUGAAGUAGACCUCUUAUUAAAAAUCUUCAGGUAAAGCUCUUUUUUAAACUAGGGAUCAUUGUAUUUACGACUUUAAUUAAAACUAAGAAUUGAAGAUUAAAAGAAAAUAAGAGAGACAGACUGUAGUUUUGAACAUCUAUAGUCAAGAGGGAAACAGCCCAGACAAUUAGCUAAAGCCCGUAAAAUAAGCUUAAGUAUUAAAGGAUGUUUGUUAAGGAAGACAACUACCAAAUAGGCUUAGAAGCAGCCAUAUUUUAAAGAAAGCGUAACAGCUCAGUAGAAGAUCUUAAAUACAGCGCCAAAAAUUUAU